AAUUUAAAAUUCUAUCUAACUUAAUAAUACAAGUAUAAUAUAAGAGUUACCUGUUAGCAAUAAAGAUAAAAAUUACCUCUCUAUAGUAUUUCUAGUCUU